rnacentral:rRNA from 1 species
AGGAUGAACGCUGGCGGUGUGCCUAAGGUAUGCAAGUCGAACGGUCCUUAUGAUUAUCAUUUGGACAGUGGCGGACUGGUGAGUAACGCGUGGAUAAUCUGCCCCGAAGAUGAGGAUAGCUCGCCGAAAGGUGAGGUAAUCCUCAAUGGUGUGGGAAGUACAUAUGUACAUCCCACUAAAGCUUUAGCGCUUCGGGAUGAGUCUGCGUCCUAUCAGCUUGUUGGUAGAGUAAAGGUCUACCAAGGCUAAGACGGGUAACUGGUCUGAGAGGAUGGUCAGUCACAGUGGCACUGAAACACGGGCCACACUCCUACGGGAGGCAGCAAUUAGGAAUCUUGCACAAUGGAGGAAACUCUGAUGCAGCGACACCGCGUGAAGGAUGAAGACCCUCGGGUUGUAAACUUCUUUUAUAAUCUAACAAGUUCUGAGUGGAGUAUGAAUAAGCACCUGCUAACUGCGUGCCAGAAGCAUCGGUGAAGCGUGGGGUGCGAGCGUUAUCCGGAUUUAUUGGGCGUAAAGAGAUGCGUAGGCGUUUUGGUAAGUCUUCUGUCAAAGCCUUCGGCCUAACCGAAGAAAGGCAGAGGAUACUAUCAGAAUUGAGACAGAGAGGGGGAAGUGGAAUUCCCGGUGGAGCGGUGAAAUGCGUUGAUAUCGGGAGGAACACCAGUGGCGAAGGCAACUUCCUGGCUCUGUUCUGACGCUGAGGCUCGAAAGCGUGGAGAGCAAAGCGGAUUAGAUACCCGUGUAGUCCAUGCUGUAAACGUUGGAUACUGGACGUUUGGUUC